GACCUGUAACUCAGUGGUAAAUUUCCUGCUUUGCAUGCAGAGGGUCCCAGGUUCAAGUCCUGACAUCUCCA